rnacentral:rRNA from 1 species
CAUGUAGGCGACUUAAUAAGUCGAGCGUGAAAAUGCGGGGCUCAACCCCGUAUGGCGCUGGAAACUGUUAGGCUUGAGUGCAGGAGAGGAAAGGGGAAUUCCCAGUGUAGCGGUGAAAUGCGUAGAUAUUGGGAGGAACACCAGUGGCGAAGGCGCCUUUCUGGACUGUGUCUGACGCUGAGAUGCGAAAGCCAGGGUAGCGAACG